GACGAACGCUGGCGGCGUGCUUAACACAUGCAAGUCGAACGGGAUUUCGUAAACGGUAGCCUCGGUGGAAGAUUACUAAUGAGAGUGGCGAACGGGUGAGUAACGCGUGAGCAACCUGCCUACGACAGUGGGAUAGCCUCGGGAAACCGGGAUUAAUACCGCAUAAAAUCGUAGAAACACAUGUUUCAACGGUCAAAGAUUUAUCGGUCAUAGAUGGGCUCGCGUCUGAUUAGCUAGUUGGUAAGAUAACAGCCCACCAAGGCGACGAUCAGUAGCCGGUCUGAGAGGAUGAACGGCCACAAUGGAACUGAGACACGGUCCAAACUCCUACGGGAGGCAGCAGUGGGGAAUAUUGCACAAUGGGGGAAACCCUGAUGCAGCGACGCCGCGUGAACGAAGAAGGUAUUCGUAUCGUAAAGUUCUGUCAUAUGGGAAGAUAAUGACAGUACCGGAGGAAAAAGCUCCGGCUAAAUACGUG
rnacentral:rRNA from 1 species